UUGAGAAGAUCUGUCCUUAGUACGAGAGGACCGGGAUGGACAAACCUCUGAUGUACCAGUUGUCACGCCAGUGGCACAGCUGGGUAGUCACGUUUGGCAUAGAUAACCGCUGAAAGCAUCUAAGCGGGAAACUAGCUUCAAGAUAAGU
rnacentral:rRNA from 1 species